rnacentral:rRNA from 1 species
GUGGGGAAUAUUGGACAAUGGGCGAAAGCCUGAUCCAGCCAUGCCGCGUGAGUGAUGAAGGCCCUAGGGUUGUAAAGCUCUUUUACCUGGGAAGAUAAUGACUGUACCAGGAGAAUAAGCCCCGGCUAACUUCGUGCCAGCAGCCGCGGUAAUACGAAGGGGGCUAGCGUUGUUCGGAAUCACUGGGCGUAAAGCGCACGUAGGCGGAUCUUUAAGUCAGAGGUGAAAUCCCGGAGCUCAACUUCGGAACUGCCUUUGAUACUGGGGAUCUCGAGUCCGGGAGAGGUGAGUGGAACUGCGAGUGUAGAGGUGAAAUUCGUAGAUAUUCGCAAGAACACCAGUGGCGAAGGCGGCUCACUGGCCCGGUACUGACGCUGAGGUGCGAAAGCGUGGGGAGCAAACAGGAUUAGAAACCCUUGUAGUCC